UUACCACACUAAUAUAGAGUCGCUUUGGAUAAAAGCGUCUGCUAAAUGGCAUAUA
rfam:Salmo salar isolate Sally breed double haploid chromosome ssa15, whole genome shotgun sequence.